UACAGAGGUCUCAAGCGCUGUUCGGAUUCAUUGGGCGUAAAGGGUGCGUAGGCGGCGCGGUAAGUCGGAUGUGAAAUCUCGGAGCUUAACUUCGAAACUGCAUUCGAUACUGCCGUGCUUGAGGACUGGAGAGGAGACUGGAAUUUACGGUGUAGCGGUGAAAUGCGUAGAUAUCGUAAGGAAGACCAGUGGCGAAGGCGGGUCUCUGGACAGUUCCUGACGCUGAGGCACGAAGGUCAGGGGAGCAAACGGG
rnacentral:rRNA from 1 species